AAACUAGUGCUCUAUCGACUAACAACGUUAUAAUAUAACCAAUCUUUGAUCUAUCGGUAGGAUAUGCCCUAGGAUGAAGUUCAAAGUUAAUACUAAUUUGAUUGAGGAAACCCCGACAACCUUUGGGAUCACCUCCAUAACGGAGAGGGGAUGUAGCAUGGGCAGAAGCCCCCCCUGCCGCCAUCUCCAUAUGAGGUUCCUGA